GGCGACAAUAACGUGGGGGCCACACCCGUUCCCUUUCCGAACACGGCCGUUAAGCCCCACAGUGUUGAUGGUACUAUGUGGGCAACUGCAUGGGAGAGUAAAACGUCGCC
rnacentral:rRNA from 1 species